CCUACGGGAGGCUGCAGUGGGGAAUAUUGGACAAUGGGCGAAAGCCUGAUCCAGCCAUGCCGCGUGUGUGAAGAAGGCCUUCGGGUUGUAAAGCACUUUCAGUGGGGAAGAAAGCCUUGGGGCUAAUACCCUCGAGGAAGGACAUCACCCACAGAAGAAGCACCGGCUAACUCCGUGCCAGCAGCCGCGGUAAUACGGGGGGUGCGAGCGUUAAUCGGAAUUACUGGGCGUAAAGCGCGCGUAGGCGGUCUGAUAAGCCGGUUGUGAAAGCCCCGGGCUCAACCUGGGAACGGCAUCCGGAACUGUCAGGCUAGAGUGCAGGAGAGGAAGGUAGAAUUCCCGGUGUAGCGGUGAAAUGCGUAGAGAUCGGGAGGAAUACCAGUGGCGAAGGCGGCCUUCUGGACUGACACUGACGCUGAGGUGCGAAAGCGUGGGUAGCAAACAGGAUUAGAUACCCUGGUAGUC
rnacentral:rRNA from 1 species